GCCUGCCCUGUGACCCCAAGUUUAACGGCCGCGGUAUCCUGACCGUGCAAAGGUAGCGCAAUCACUUGUCCCUUAAAUGAGGACCUGUAUGAAUGGCAUAACGAGGGCUUAACUGUCUCCUUUCCCCAGCCAAUGAAAUUGAUCUUCCCGUGCAGAAGCGGGAAUACCAACAUAAGACGAGAAGACCCUAUGGAGCUUUAGACACUAGAACAGACCAUGUCAGCUACCCCCACAAAAAAGUAGUAGUUAUUGUAACCCCUGUUCUCCGUCUUCGGUUGGGGCGACCACGGGGAAUAAAAAAACCCCCAUGUGGACCGGGAGCACACCACUCCUAAAACCACGAGCCACCGCUCUAAAUAACAGAAUUUCUGACCAAAAAGAUCCGGCAACGCCGAUCAACGGACCCAGUUACCCUAGGGAUAACAGCGCAAUCCUCUUCAAGAGUCCAUAUCGAC
rnacentral:rRNA from 1 species